GACGAACGCUGGCGGCGUGCCUAAUACAUGCAAGUAGAACGCACAGUUUAUACCGUAGCUUGCUACACCAUAAACUGUGAGUUGCGAACGGGUGAGUAACGCGUAGGUAACCUGCCUGGUAGCGGGGGAUAACUAUUGGAAACGAUAGCUAAUACCGCAUAAUAUUAAUUAUUGCAUGAUAAUUGAUUGAAAGAUGCAAUUGCAUCACUACCAGAUGGACCUGCGUUGUAUUAGCUAGUAGGUGAGGUAACGGCUCACCUAGGCGACGAUACAUAGCCGACCUGAGAGGGUGAUCGGCCACACUGGGACUGAGAAACGGCCCAGACUCCUACGGGAGGCAGCAGUAGGGAAUCUUCGGCAAUGGACGAAAGUCUGACCGAGCAACGCCGCGUGAGUGAAGAAGGUUUUCGGAUCGUAAAGCUCUGUUGUAAGAGAAGAACGGGUGUGAGAGUGGAAAGUUCACACUGUGACGGUAUCUUACCAGAAAGGGACGGCUAACUACGUG
rnacentral:rRNA from 1 species